GGCCGGAGCGGGGGAUUGUGGGAAGCGCGGGGAUGCGCGGGCUCCACAACUUGAGACCUGCGUGCUACGAACGCCAUUUGGCCGCGGAGUGCGAAGAGAAUGCUUUGUUGCGGACCCCCGUAGGACCUGGACCCCUCUGCUUCAGCAGGGUCGCAGGCGGCCCGGAGCAUGCGGAAUGGCAUUCAAGGCACCCCCUCCCCAGUCUAAAAAUAAACCCAUCCCGGGAGGCGACCCUUCCCAAAUGAGGCAGCUGCAAUUUGGAAACGCUGAAUAUUUAACUACAAAGAAAAGCUCAUCUGCUUGGCUGGCCUCCAGCAGAGUGUGGUAGCAGCAGGCAGGAGCCUGGCAGUGUGGGAGGAGACCUGACAGGAAACAGGGAAGAAUUUCCAGGUAUUGGUUCACCUCCACACUGGCUGGACAUGCAGAUACCUGCUACUAACAGGAGUCAGUCAUCUUAUGCAUUAAGCAACUUAACACGUUGCUGUCCCUAACUCCAACUUACUGGAUUUUAACAAUAACCGAGCAUCAAGAAGGGAUAUUUACCAAUAACUUGGAGGACCCAUAACUUCACUGUCUUCUUGCCGCUGCAACCUGCUGCCACGAAUCAUUUCCACCUGCUACAGAUCCCUUGCCACAGCACUCCAGUCCCGAUUUUCCCUCGGGCCUCUAGAUACCAUCACAGCAGCAUCAUCCUAUUAGCACAUAUUUUCUGAAUGCUUAAUUACCAGAUGAGGAAACUAGAGCCCAGAGAGGUUAAGUAACUUGCUCCACUCACAUGCCUGAGCAAUGGACCAUGAAUACAGCUCCUGUAUUCCACACAAGUGGUUAACGCCUGG
rnacentral:lncRNA from 1 species